GACGAACGCUGGCGGCGUGCUUAACACAUGCAAGUCGAGCGGUAAGGCCCUUUCGGGGGUACACGAGCGGCGAACGGGUGAGUAACACGUGGGUGACCUGCCCUCAGCUCUGGGAUAAGCCUGGGAAACUGGGUCUAAUACUGGAUAUGACUCCACGGUGCAUGUCGUGGGGUGGAAAGCCUUGUGCGGCUGAGGAUGGGCCCGCGGCCUAUCAGCUUGUUGGNGGGGUGAUGGCCUACCAAGGCGACGACGGGUAGCCGGCCUGAGAGGGCGACCGGCCACACUGGGACUGAGACACGGCCCAGACUCCUACGGGAGGCAGCAGUGGGGAAUCUUGCGCAAUGGGCGAAAGCCUGACGCAGCGACGCCGCGUGAGGGAUGACGGCUCGGUGUAACU
rnacentral:rRNA from 1 species